rnacentral:rRNA from 1 species
AGAGUUUGAUCCUGGCUCAGGAUGAACGCUGGCGGCAUGCCUAAGACAUGCAAGUCGAACGAGAUGGCCCAGUGAAGGUUGAGUGCUUGCACGAGACUGAAUCUGGAUUCCCAUCUAGUGGCAGACGGGUGAGUAACACGUGGGUGACCUACCUUUUCGUUGGGGAUAACAGUUGGAAACGAUUGCUAAUACCGAAUAAAAUGUAAGAGUCAAUUUUACAUUGAAAGGAGCCUUUAAAGCUUCGCGAUUAGAUGGGCCUGCGGCGUAUUAACUAGUUGGUGAGGUAAUGGCUUACCAAGGUGACGAUGCGUAGCCGAACUGAGAGGUUGAUCGGCCACAUUGGGACUGAGACACGGCCCAAACUCCUACGGGAGACAGCAGUUAGGAAUAUUCGUCAAUGGAGGAAACUCUGAACGAGCAAUGCCGCGUGAGUGAUGAAGGUCUUAUAGAUUGUAAAACUCUGUUGUAUGGAAAAAACGGCUAGGUUAGGAAAUGAACUUAGUGUGAUGGUACCAUACCAGAAAGCCCCGGCUAACUACGUGCCAGCAGCCGCGGUAAUACGUAGGGGGCGAGCGUUAUCCGGAUUUAUUGGGCGUAAAGCGUGUGUAGGCGGUUUAUUAAGUUUAAGAUUAAAGCCCGGGGCUCAACUCCGGUAAGUCUUAAAAACUGGUAGACUUGAGUACGGUAGAGGCAAACGGAAUUUCUAGUGUAGCGGUGAGAUGCGUAGAUAUUAGAAGGAACACCAGUGGCGAAAGCGGUUUGCUGGGCCGUUACUGACGCUGAGGCACGAAAGCGUGGGGAGCAAAUAGGAUUAGAUACCCUAGUAGUCCACGCCGUAAACGAUGAGUACUAAGUGUUGGGGUUACCCAGUGCUGAAGCUAACGUAUUAAGUACUCCGCCUGAGUAGUACGGUCGCAAGGCUGAAACUCAA